rnacentral:hammerhead_ribozyme from 1 species
NNCCGGCUGACGAGUCCCAAAUAGGACGAAACGCGCGUCCUGGAU